rnacentral:lncRNA from 1 species
UUUGUGAUGACGAUAAUAACAUCAACGGCAAAAUUUGAGACAACAGUAGAUCAGCCGGGAAGGAUAGGAUACAGAAAUACAGCAGAGAAAAUAUCGGUUUACCAGCCACUUGCAGAAAUUCUUAAAGUUACAGAAAGAGACGAUUGUUACGACAAGUCAGAGAUGGCGGAUCCUUUUCGAAUCAUCUACGGAUUGCUAUUGUUCAUGUAUGUUUUACAAGUCAAAUGUAGGCUAUGUCUUCUUCCAUCACAAGUUUUAUUCCGUGAGCAUCCUGUCAGAUCAUAUAUUUUGCCGGAAUCAACAUUCUGUAUACUGUGUCAACAGAAUACAGAAUGUUGAUUCUGUAUUCUGUUGACACAACAUUCU